rnacentral:rRNA from 1 species
AGAGUUUGAUCCUGGCUCAGGAUAAACGCUGGCGGCGUGCCUAACACAUGCAAGUCGAACGCUCGGUGUUUUCGGACACCGGGAGUGGCGGACGGGUGAGUAACACGUGGGAACCUACCCCCUGGUGAGGAAUACCGGCGAGAAAUCGUCGACAACACCGCAUAGGCUUCUUUGCAAGAGGAAGCAAAGCUCCGCAAGGGGCGCCAGAGGAUGGGCCUGCGGUCGAUUAGCUAGUUGGCGGGGUAAAAGCCCCCCAAGGCCACGAUCGAUAGCUGGUCUGAGAGGAUGAUCAGCCACACUGGGAUUGAGAACGGCCCAGACUCCUACGGGAGGCAGCAGUGAGGAAUUUUCGGCAAUGGGCGCAAGCCUGACCGAGCAACGCCGCGUGCAGGAGGAAGGUCUUCGGAUCGUAAACUGCUUUUCUCGGGGAAGACAUCGACGGUACCCGAGGAAUCAGCCCCGGCUUACUACGUGCCAGCAGCCGCGGUAAUACGUAGGGGGCGAGCGUUGUCCGGAGUUACUGGGCGUAAAGCGCCCGCAGGCGGUCGGUCGCGUUUGAGGUGACAGCUCCCGGCUUAACUGGGAGAGCGUCUCAAAAACGGGUCGACUUGAGGACCAGAGAGGGACACGGAAUUCCGGGUGUAGUGGUGAAAUGCGUAGAUAUCCGGAGGAACACCGAAGGCGUAGGCAGUGUCCUGGCUGGCACCUGACGCUCAGGGGCGAAAGCUAGGGGAGCGAACGGGAUUAGAUACCCCGGUAGUCCUAGCCGUAAACGAUGACCACUAGGUGUGCGGGGUAUCGACCCCCUGCGUGCCGUAGCUAACGCACUAAGUGGUCCGCCUGGGGAGUACGGUCGCAAGAUUAAAACUCAAAGGAAUUGACGG